AUGUUAAAUUACGUGUUGUUUGUCAUCUCUCAUUGUGUGUGUGUAUUCCACCUUCUCCCACUUCUUUGUAUUUUUAAUGAGGGGAGUUUAUUCUCAAGUGCGCCGUUUCAGGAGAAAUCGCAGACUGAUGUUUUUGGUGCAAACCACCCACCUUUCAAUCAGCUCCGCCAGAAAGUUGCAGAACGCUUUGUUCCAGUGAACUGCUGCCUUUCAGUCUUCCCUCAGCCCCCUCCCAGCGAGAGCCGGAGGUGUUUUUCCCGCGGGUCACGCAGCGUAAAGCGGUUAAGGAGCUGUGUUUCGGUGUUUAGCAGAGGCUGCUGCCUCCUAGUAAAAGGGUUCCUGUGAAGCCAGAAGCAGCCAGCAGUAACAAACACGGUGCGUGCGAGUGCUUUCGUGUCCUGGGGGGGGUCAGCUUUACCGAGAAAGGGAGAAUUUAACGAGCUCUCUGCAGACUUGUACAUUUCUACCUUUAGAAAAUACAUUAAAUGCGUUCUCUUGCUUACACGGCAGAUGUCUGAAACCUACCGGAAAGCUCAGCCAGCCCACGCUGAAGUUUGCCACGAGGCCCAGGACGAACACAACCACCACCCCAGUGCCCGGCUGCUCUGACCCGAUGGCUACGAACACAUCCUGCCUCUCCCUGGGGUGGCAGCUGUAGCCCAUGGACGGGCAGGGCACAGCCAAGCGGGGGCACAGGACACAAACCUGCCUUGUGAGAAACCCGUGGGCAGCCGCUCCACGAUCCUGGGCGGCGACCUGGGGCUGGGUGUCCCUGCAACAUCAACAAGAGCAGCGAGCUCAGGGAACAGCGGCUGGUUGUUUGCUGAGCCGACCUCACGGAGCUGGAAGGGGUAUCACCCCUCGCCCACCUGGGAUUUGAAGAUGGGUCUUCUAAAAAUAUGCCCAGAUUUACCAGUUGGUCUGAAUCCCCUGUCAGUAGCAGUUAUUCGUAAUUUCUCAGUGAACAUGCAUAAGUGUUCAGUGAAAACUAUUUGUUACAGAGUAAGAUUUUCAACUUUUUUACUUUUAUUUUUCCACCUCACGAAGGUGCAAAUGGCCACGGUUACAGACAACUGGCAUGCUUUUUGCAAGCAUUUUUUUGGAAGUUCGGACACAUCGGUGUGCCUUGCUGCGUGGCCUGGCGGUCAGCAGUGAGCCUUCACUAUCAAAUUAUCGCGACAUGGCAAGGGCCAGGGCGGGGGCCCCAGCAAAGCCAUGGUGCAGGAGGUAUGGUCAGCGCUGAGCAGGUCGGAAAGCAGCCGGACCCUUGGCUUGGCGCAGGGGCUUGACGUAAGCCUAUAUGCAUACAUCUAUGUGUAAAACGGGUUAUAGCACCCAUAUAUAU
rnacentral:lncRNA from 1 species